GUGGAUUAGAUACCCUGGUAGUCCACGCCGUAAACGUUGGGCACUAGGUGUGGGACUCUAUCGACGGGUUCCGUGCCGUAGCUAACGCAUUAAGUGCCCCGCCUGGGGAGUACGGCCGCAAGGCUAAAACUCAAAGGAAUUGACGGGGGCCCGCACAAGCGGCGGAGCGUGUGGCUCAAUUCGAUGCAACGCGAAGAACCUUACCUGGGCUUGACAUGUACGGUAAAGCGGGUGAAAGCCCGUGUGCUUCGGCGCCGUACACAGGUGGUGCAUGGCCGUCGACAACU
rnacentral:rRNA from 1 species